rnacentral:rRNA from 1 species
GAUGAACGCUGACAGAAUGCUUAACACAUGCAAGUCUACUUGAUCCUUCGGGUGAUGGUGGCGGACGGGUGAGUAACGCGUAAAGAACUUGCCUUGCAGUCUGGGACAACGUCUGGAAACGGACGCUAAUACCGGAUAUUAUGAUUGAAUCGCAUGAUUUGAUUAUGAAAGCUAUAUGCGCUGCGAGAGAGCUUUGCGUCCCAUUAGUUAGUUGGUGAGGUAACGGCUCACCAAGACGAUGAUGGGUAGCCGGCCUGAGAGGGUGAACGGCCACAAGGGGACUGAGACACGGCCCUUACUCCUACGGGAGGCAGCAGUGGGGAAUAUUGGACAAUGGACCAAAAGUCUGAUCCAGCAAUUCUGUGUGCACGAUGAAGUUUUUCGGAAUGUAAAGUGCUUUCAGUUGGGAAGAAGAAAGUGACGGUACCAACAGAAGAAGCGACGGCUAAAUACGUGCCAGCAGCCGCGGUAAUACGGAAGGUCCGGGCGUUAUCCGGAUUUAUUGGGUUUAAAGGGAGCGCAGGCGGCGGCGUAAGUCAGUUGUGAAAUCGUGCGGCUUAACCGUGCAAUUGCAGUUGAUACAGCGUCGCUUGAGUGCACACAGGGAUGUUGGAAUUCAUGGUGUAGCGGUGAAAUGCUUAGAUAUCAUGAAGAACUCCGAUCGCGAAGGCAUAUGUCCGGAGUGCAACUGACGCUGAGGCUCGAAAGUGUGGGUAUCAAACAGG